CGGUGUUUAACUGGCGUGAUGUGGGACGUCCUACCGGUGGGCUUAGCCUCGCGAGGGGCGGCCCAACUAAUAUCCCGUCGCGGUGCUCUUUACUGAGUGUCGAGUCGGGCCGGUACGUUUACUUUGAACAAAUUAGAGUGCUUAAAGCAGGCUAUCCUCGCCUGAAUACUGCGUGCAUGGAAUAAUGGAAUAGGACCUCGGUUCUAUUUUGUUGGUUUUCGGAACCCCGAGGUAAUGAUUAAUAGGGACAAAUGGGGGCAUUCGUAUUGCGACGUUAGAGGUGAAAUUCUUGGAUCGUCGCAAGACGGACAGAAGCGAAAGCAUUUGCCAAAAAUGUUUUCAUUAAUCAAGAACGAAAGUUAGAGGUUCGAAGGCGAUCAGAUACCGCCCUAGUUCUAACCAUAAACGAUGCCAGCUAGCGAUCCGCCGAAGUUCCUCCGAUGACUCGGCGGGCAGCUUCCGGGAAACCAAAGCUUUUGGGUUCCGGGGGAAGUAUGGUUGCAAAGCUGAAACUUAAAGGAAUUGACGGAAGGGCACCACCAGGAGUGGAGCCUGCGGCUUAAUUUGACUCAACACGGGAAACCUCACCAGGCCCAGACACCGGAAGGAUUGACAGAUUGAUAGCUCUUUCUUGAUUCGGUGGGUGGUGGUGCAUGGCCGUUCUUAGUUGGUGGAGCGAUUUGUCUGGUUAAUUCCGAUAACGAACGAGACUCUAGCCUGCUAAAUAGGCGUACCUUAUGGUAUCGCGAAGGCCCCCGGCUUCGGCCGGUGGGUUUUUACUACCAACGUACAAACAAAUCUUCUUAGAGGGACAGGCGG
rnacentral:rRNA from 1 species